rnacentral:lncRNA from 1 species
GUUUUAUUUUGUUUUGUUUGUAUUUUUUUUAUUUUUACAUUAUUCCAAAGUAAUUAUUAUUAUGACAAAAAGUAAUUAUUCAUAAAAUGAAAAGUAAUGUUUUUGAAGCGUUACUUUUCAUUAUUUCAAUAAUUACUUUUUCUUAUAACAAUGAUUACAUGAAUAAUUAUUUGAUUAUUUUUCUGUAUUUUAUUUAUUUCUACGUUAUUUAAUAAGUAUAAAAUAUAC